rnacentral:tRNA from 1 species
GAGUAUGCAGCCUUGUGGUCUUAGUUUUGCAAAAGCUAAUGAGAGCUUUAGCUCCAUACUUU